ensembl:rRNA 5S_rRNA 5S ribosomal RNA
CAUCCAUGGAUUCAACCAAUCCCAGACUGAAAAUACUAGUUUGGUAGGAUCCCGUCUGAUCUCGGAAGCUAAGCAGGGUUGGGCCUGGUUAGUACUUGGACGGGAGACUACCUAGGAAGACCAGGU